GGUAGCGCAGUGUAGCAAUACAUGGGCGACGACCGGCAAACGGGUGCGUAACACGUACGCAAUCUACCCACUACAGGGGAAUAGCCCAGGGAAACUUGGAUUAAUACCCCAUAUUAUAUAGGGUUGGCAUCAACUUUAUAUCAAAGCUUCGGCGGUAGUGGAUGAGCGUGCGGUUGAUUAGAUAGUUGGCGGGGUAACGGCCCACCAAGUCUACGAUCAAUAGCUGAUGUGAGAGCAUGAUCAGCCACACGGGCACUGAGACACGGGCCCGACUCCUACGGGAGGCAGCAGUAAGGAAUAUUGGGCAAUGGACGCAAGUCUGACCCAGCCAUGCCGCGUGAAGGAUGAAGGUCCUCUGGAUUGUAAACUUCUUUUAUCUGGGGCGAAAACAACUCUUUCUAGAGUUCUUGACAGUACCAGAGGAAUAAGCACCGGCUAACUCCGUGCCAGCAGCCGCGGUAAUACGGAGGGUGCAAGCGUUAUCCGGAUUCACUGGGUUUAAAGGGUGCGUAGGCGGGCUAGUAAGUCAGUGGUGAAAUCCCCGAGCUUAACUUGGGAACUGCCGUUGAUACUAUUAGUCUUGAAUAUCGUGGAGGUAAGCGGAAUAUGUCAUGUAGCGGUGAAAUGCUUAGAUAUGACAUAGAACACCAAUUGCGAAGGCAGCUUGCUACACGAUUAUUGACGCUGAGGCACGAAAGCGUGGGGGAUCAAACAGGAUUAGAUACCCUGGUAGUCCACGCCCUAAACGAUGAUUACUCGACAUCAGCGAUACACU
rnacentral:rRNA from 1 species